UAUAUAUUCACGAGUGGAAUUACUGGAUCCUAUGGUAGUUUUUUUUUUUUAAUUUUUUGAGGAAUCUCCAUACAUUUUUCUAUAGUAGCUAUACCUAGUCAGGUGCUUUUGAAGCAUUUUUAAAUUAGAAAUCCCAAUUAUGUGUAAGACAGGGAUAAAAAAACAAAGAUAUUAAAUUGUGCAUUUGUAAUUCUCUACCCUACCCAAUCCCCACAUUGGCCUUCUAAGAAGAAUGGAUUACUGCUCACCUCACAAGCCACAGAGAUGUAGUUCUGCUUAUUGCAGGAGAAUGUAGACAGGUUAAUUGAAAGAUGCCAAAAGAAUAUCAAUUGCUCUAUAUAAAAAAGGCGGCCUAAGGAAAAAGAAUUUUCAGAAAAUUAAGAGAUUUGAAGAGGCUAUGGAAUAAAAAGGAUUUUAAAUCAACAGAUAUUAUGAUUUGGAGGAUUUUGAGGAGAGAGGUGAGUUAUGAAGAAUUUUAAUAAAUUUUUGCCAAAACUGGCCACAAAGCAGCCUCAUUUUACAUAAAACAAAUAAGAGUCAAGCUUUUUGACUGAGGUGUCCAAAGAUACAGCCUGGUCUGACCAAACACACUUAAAGCAAACUGCUUCCAUGGGAAACUAUUUCCUUUUCAUCUUUGCAGAUAGAUUAAUUCUUUUAAAGUAAAGCAAUUGGAAUCAGGCUUAGCGCUGAGCACAGGCAGGUGCCUGCUUGAGGUGGUAAUUGGGAAGUUAGGAGAUGGCCUUCCCGCUGAUGCCAUCUCCAACACUUUCUAUGAGUUAAGACAUCAUCAACAGAGAAUAUAAUCCUUUCUUUCACAGUUAAGGUAAAGAAUUUAGUCUUCUACAAUGAAUUACCACCUCUACCAAUAUGUGUACUCAAUCAUAAUAUUUAAAUAUGGUUAUAUAUGACAGUAUAAUGAAGGCAAACCAUCUCCCUACCCCACUUAAUUUUUAGCAGGGCUACAAAUUUCAUAAUAUUGGAUUUAGGCUAAGUUUACAAAAAAUUGGGUGUUUCUAUUAAUAUCGGAAACAGCAAAACAUAAAAAUAAUUAAACAAUAUGCAUCAACUUGCAUCCUAAAUGUCUACAAAUAGGAAUUUAUGUGUAUAUGUUUUACAUAUCUAUAUGUUUGAAUAUAUUCAUUUAUAUACACAUGUACAUAUAUAUAUAUAACAAUGCACUAAAUAAUUGAGAUGUAACUAAACAAAAAAGGUAAAUGUAAUUACUACAGUAAAAUAUAUUUAAAGGAAAAGAAUAUAGUGAUACCACAGAAAGAUACCCGUGCUAUCAAGUUGGCAAGUGAGUUAGUUACUCAGUAAUUUGAUUAAACCUAAAUUCUGAUGGGAAAAUAAUUUCAAAUUUAUUUGAUAUUUUCAAAGGGCGGUGAAAACUGAAGACCCACAGCUCCCCAAAAUGACGAGGAAAAGAAGAAAAGCCUGUAAAAAAUGGGAAAUCUUGAAUACCACAGUAUAUAAGUCUAAUUCAAUGAUUUUCUAAGUGUAUCUCAGCCUGCUGGCUGAACAUGCCAAGAAAAUAUAAAAGCUCUUGAAAAGGAAGUCAAAGGAGACACCUUGGAGCCUGUGUUUCAUCAGCCUGAGGCAUUAGGGAAAUCUAAGGAAAAUGGAGAUGAGGGUAUGUCUGCUUCUGUGAAUGAAAAGCAGAAUUCUUCUUUUCUCCCUAAAGAUAAGAAACAGCAUCCAUCUGACAGCAAAAUAGGUAGGAAGAAGGGAAAUGAUGAUCCUCCUUUGGCUGUCUCUCAUCAACUGGAAAAAGUCUUACCUAUGAUUAUAUUUAAUGACUAUGGAGAAUCAUUAUCAGAAAACAUUACAUUACAGAAUCUCCCAGGCACAGUAGAAGCCUUUAAGCCAGCAAAAGGCAAAUUUAUUACAGAAGUGAAACUUGGGGCUUUCAAUGUGCAAAGAGAAAUCAAGAAAAACUUUUUCUGUAAACCAGGAAUACAGUUCCCAACAAAAAAGACACAUCCAAAAUGUUGACAGCAUUUCUCUCUCAGACCCAUUCAGAGAUGCUACAGUUCUAGGAGCUGCUUUCCUAAACAUAAGAACAUAUUGGUGGAAGAACUAAAACCUGAGGUGCCAUCUAAACAUGAAGGAGAAAUCGCCAGAACUGAGAGCCCAUUGCUGAAAGUAACCAUUGAAAGAAAAGAAAUUUAAAGUCAACUACAUGAGUAAGACACAGAAUAUACUAAUUAAUAUAACUCAUCCUAAAAGAAAGGAAAACAGUAACUAAAUACAGAAACAUGUCCUCCAAUCGCACUACUAAAGAACCUUUCACGUCUCCAUCACAGUCUGGUAUUAGGUACCCUGAAAUGUGGCAGCUUGAAAACAAGCAUCAGAGUUGAGAUUGUUUGUGUAUCUCUCCUCCUGGCAUGUGUGGUGUCCAGAAGGAGAAUAAUUUUGAUACAGUGGUGAUUUCUCUAACCUCAACUCUGGAGAGAAAGAAAAAUAAGCCUGACACACUAUCUACAGUCUUAGAUGAUUGUGAGGUAGAAUCUGCUAUCUCUCAGCAGAAGGUCUUUAAAAUUAGUCAGAACACCCCCAGAAAGAAACAUUUCUCUGAGUCUAAGACUCUUCUCAAAAAAAUUCUUCCUACUUCACAUAAUACCCAAAAGACCACAAGUUUAAGUAAUGCAGAUUUAAGUAAAAUGCCUUUUGAGGACUCUAAAGAUGUGGAAAAAGAGAGAAAAAUCAACUUUGAUAUCCCAGGAAAUAUCACAUCAGACUCACACAUACAGCAAAGCACAGAAGGAAUAAAUUGUUUGCCAAAUACCAUUACUGACAUCUUUCCAGUUCAAGAUGGCAAAGACUUCAACUUUAGUUCUUCAUCUUCUGUGAGCAUGCAGCUCAUAGAAGCAAAGGCAGCCAACGUCUACUGCAAAGGAAGCAAGACUCCACCUGCAAAGGAAGCAAGACUCCACCUGCAGAAUGCUGUGAGAACUCAAAUUCUGUAUCUUUCCCUUCUAGUCAAACUUCUCUGUAGUCUUGCACCUCAUUCAGUGCACCUCACUGGGCCACCAGACAUUCAAAAACCUAAGGAAAACCCAGAGAGUACAUUUUCUUUUAAUCAUUGUGCUGACUGUGUGAUAGAUUCUGAGAAGGAGCAGAUUAAUGUGACUGACAGAGACUUUAACAAAGCUAUUUUACAUAGUGACUCUCAUGCAAAAGCACAGCAACUACUGGAAAGGAAGAUUACGCCAUGUCUUAAUCUCAGGCCUGCCUCUGGCAGCAGCCUAGCAGCUAAGAGUCUGCUCAAUGGUGUUAGCCACAGCACUGUGGAAUGGAACCAGAGUCGCAGCAAGUCAUCCAGAUAGCAGCCCUGAGCAAAACAAAAGCUCUAGUUAUGACCUUCAUAACUGAUGAGUUAGAGCAAAAAUUAGUUAAGAUAAAGAAACUACAAUUUUUUUUCUAAUUGUCCCAUGGGAAUGAAAAACCCUGAAGAGUGACCCAGCUCUCUGGAAAAUGUUGAAAAAGACAAAAGCCAGAUAUUACCAGUGGUGAAGAAUUUGUGCUACAGAGAUUUUGAAGACCUUUCAAAUGAAAAUGAUGACAAAGUCUGUUUUCAAAUGCAUUUUUCAGCAAACAGUGCUGAGUCCAACUGUGCAGUGUGUGCUUCAGAUAAUCUGUUUCUUAUUGAGAAAACACCGACCAAUGAUGUCGACCUACAUGGUAACCAAGAUAAAGAAAACCUUGGACUAACCAGUUUUAAACAGGAGCCAGCAUAGUGCUAAAGGAUUGCAUCAAUGGGGCCAAAUUCUAAAGAAGAUAAGAACAAAAAUGACUCAAAGGAAAAUUACUGUCACCAAAUACACAUGUUGAUGCCGCCUCAGAAGCAAGCUUUGAAAGAUUGGUAUUUGGAAAUAAAGAGUAUCUGAAAGUUACCCAGGAAUUGGUCCAAAGAGGUGGAAGAGCUAGUGAUGGUUCCCAGGAAGAAGCAAUUAACCAGUGGGCCGGAAGGAGGGAGCAAUACAAAGAAGGCAAAAGACCCAGUUCAGCAGUGGGGAGCUCAUUUGCCAGCAACAUCACAGAAGAAUCCAGUGAGUAGACAGCUUCUUUUCCAAAACCAUAGCAAAUACAACGACUUACUGAAACGUAACCAGUCUCCCGUCCCUUUAUCUCCAGAACAUAAACUCUUGCUUGAACGUGGCAAUAUAGUGAUUAUAAACUUUUAUAUAAAACAUAUUUUUGGAAUCAUUGACUAUUAUCCGCUAAGGAAUUUCAACUUGGUAAAUUCCUUUCUUGAAAACACACGACUGCCUGCUAAGGGCUGCUUUUCUCUUGAUACUAAAAAAACUAGCUAUAGGGUCCUUUAUUGAAUUAAAUUUGUAUCCUAUUUCUAGAAAUUUGAGCUGGUUUACAAAAAUAUGUAUAAUGUAAAAGAAUAAGAUAAAUGUGUUUAAUUAUAAGCAACAUUUUUUCUUCUAAUUUUAAAAUUUCUUAAAUGAGGGAGUCUGUUUCAAUGGAUGUGUUCUUGAUAAUGUUUCUCUUUCUAUUGAGAGUCUAAAUCUCAGUCCCACAGUCAGUGGCAACUGAAAGUGAAAGAUAGCUUGCCAAUUGGAAAUCCAACUGAAGGGAAAACAUGGGUUAAAGAAAUAGAAUGGGGAUUUGUACAGUUAGCACAUACUACCACUAAUCUGGCUGUAAGAUUCUAACAGCUAAAGUUGUUAAAAGAUACUUAUCCAAUGAAUAGACAUUUGCUAUUUGCAUAUUAUUUACCAAAACAACCCAGUUGUUCAGGAAAACACUGAUACUGAAAUGAGCAACUUUUAUUAAAGAGAGAAAAGCAAAGGACAGUAUCAUGAUGCCAAGAAAAAUGUCUUUAUGAAAAGACAAUAGUGAUUGUCCUAGGUUGUGCCAAUGACACAACUACAAUUCAUGAAGGCAGUGGUAUAAUUUAUUCAGAACAAGUUAGAAAGUUGGCACAGGUUAGGGAUUGAAUGUAGCUGUAAAUGUGUGGACAAAGAUUAUAAGGAACUUAAAUAAUUAAACACUGUACUAUAUUAUCACCACCACAGCCUUCUUAUAUUCAUAUAAACAGUGAAGAAUCCAAGUUAGAAAGUUGGCACAGGUUAGGGAUUGAAUGUAGCUGUAAAUGUGUGGACAAAGAUUAUAAGGAACUUAAAUAAUUAAACACUGUACUAUAUUAUCACCACCACAGCCUUCUUAUAUUCAUAUAAACAGUGAAGAAUCCAAUUUAAAUGCUCCGUUUUGUCCUGAUAAUUUUUAUACUUGUUCCUCAAUCAAUGUCUUAGUUUUCCAGUGGCUUCUAUUUGGCAGCAAGGACAGAAGAUCUGGAAUCUUACAUUUUUAUUUCAACAUAUACUACUUUAUAGAGUUGUUUUUAUUAUCCCUUUACUGUUCAUAUGCCCUUGAAAUACUUCCCUGGAGAAUAUACUUCUUACAUUAGACUUCCAAUAAAAUAAUCCCAGUACUAUACAUUUGUUCUAAUGGUUCUAAUGUUUUUUUUCUUCCACUUCUAUUUCCCCUUCCCCUUAUCAAC